CGUUGUUUUGCUGCGCCGUCUGGAUAAAACCGUUUGUUUUAUUUCCCCGUCGAUAUUUCCCUGCCGUUGAAUAAAAUAACAAAACGAACACGUUCAAAUUGAUCGUAACGGGCGAGCUGCGACACUCUGGUGUCGGCGGUCCCGCCGCCAACGUGUUUUUAUUUCAUUUUUCGGAUUCUGAGCCGAGAAACGUGUUGGUUUUACUAAGGUUUUUAUUUGAAUCUUUUCAUUUUUCGUCCGCCCGACUAUCGCACUUUACACGAUACGUAUUUUACUACCGCGCCUAACCUGUACGGGCGCGUUUUAAAACAAACGACGAUAAUAUUGUUGCGUCAAGUCCGAGCCGAUACGUAUUGUAAUUACCACACAUAGAUAAUAAUAUAAUUAGAAACGGUCUUAUUUUUUUUUCUCUCUUCUAUACUACACACUCCGCGACCGGGCGCGAACCAGAAUUAAUUAAUUUUUCUUUUCGGACCGAAAGAUUUAUGAAAAUUAAUCGCGUACAACUAUAAUACACACACGCGUGUAUAUAGCGACGACGACGAUUCUCCUUUUGACGCCGGUGUAUAAUAUUUAUUCUUUUUUUUUUUUAAUGGAAAGUCGGUUCGUUCCGAUUCAUCACUAUUGUUACCCGUCCGAUUGAAUUUAUAAUUAAAAACGUAUAAUCUCAUAAACUUUAUUGUUAGGUACAACCCGUGGUACUACCAUUUAUACUACCGGCGUCCGACUUACGCGCGUAUACAAAUUAUAAAAACAUAAUGCAUCGGAGCGAGUGUGUAUAGAACACACGGGCCGAAAACUCGACCGAAUUUUGAACAUUUUUUUUCAGACUGUGGCGGCGAAACAACAGCAAAGAAGCGAUUACAGUUUGCGCGCGUUAUCUGAAAAAUACGCGGAUAUUUUGCCGGGCGGAAAUCUUUGUUUGAACGAACGGUCGAAAUACUAACGGGUUUUCUAUACGGCGUACGAAUCGAUCGUAUUUUUAUUGAUUUCUGGAUAUUAUUUAUUUUUAUUUUUUGUUGUUUUUUUUAGCAAUACGAAGGAAAAGCUACGUGUAAAUAUUAAUACAUAAUAUUACUCCGCUCCGGAUCGGUUUUUCGAUUGCGUUGUGAAACGUAUCACAACGCGUAUUACAACGUGUAAAUCAAAUCGGUCAUUUUUUUUUUUUUUUUUUUUUUUUUUUUCGAAAAAGUGUUUGAAAACCGUUUUAAAUUAUGUAUUUUAUAAGCACCAUCACGCGGAAAAUAUCAUCUCAGGUAUACUGCGUGAAAAAAUCCGAGCGGUUUUCAAUGACCGAAAAAAUGUUUUCCCGCGGGAAAAUAAAAAAUAGUUUUUGUAAAACUAAAUAACGCGCCUUCGCUAGGAGCGCGAAAUAAUUGGCGUUUAUGUUUUAUUUAGC